GUCGAUCUCCUGCUUGUCCCUGCGCACGCGCCGCGGAUUUUCCCCGAGCUCCCUCGCCGUGGUCCUCUGCUCGAUUCGCUAUAGCUUAUCCAAGCUCCCCAUGGCGCCCGGAUUUCCCUACUGCCCCUGCGCGCGUUCUGCUUCCUGCGCGCAGCUGCGAGCUCCGCUCUAUCGCUCGGUCUCCCGAAGCUCGCGUCGUUCGUUGUGCUGUCGCGCCAUCGCCUCGGUCUGGCCGUCGGCCAGGACCUCUCAAUACUCAGCUCCCUGUUCAUCCACGACGCGUCCGGUUUUCUUUGUCUUGUCGUCGUCGUUCAGUCGCCUCGCCCUCGCGCCGUCCAUCGUUAGGCACAAUCUGCUCUAGCCCGUGGAUGUCGUAUCCUGGCUCUGGUCGCUAGAUGCCGCACCUUGCCUGUGCUGACCGUCAUCACGUAUAGGCCCGGACACCACCUCUACCUACACGAGCUCGACCGGAUCCCCAUCUUCGCGAAUUCACCGUCGAUAUCCAGCUCGCUCUUAUGUCGCCCUCCCUUCUGUCAUCCCCUGCUCAACCCCACCCCGCCAGCUCGCUCCAGACAUAAUCCCGUCGUCGUUCUGUGCGUCGGGUGAAGACGAAGCUAGCCGAGUAAUAUUCACCGAGUGCGCGACAAAAAGCUCGAACCAGUCGUCAAUCGUCUCGACAACAACCACAUCCAAGACUCCACCGUUCCAAUAAUUUUGCCGCAUCGUCCUUCAAAUCCGAAUCCUCGUCCAUAAGAUCGUCGUUGAUCUCACAACUUCAGCUCGAGUUAAUUGUGGUAAGUUAAUUUAUUAUUUCCGUCAACUAAAUAAAUGGUAGGAUUAAAUAGAAGAAUUGAUUGCGAUGAUUCUCUUGUUUAUUACUCGAUAUAAAGAUUAAGUUGAAUUUUAGGGUUAUGCGAUAAGUAUAUUGGUAGGCAUGUAUAAUACACGGGUUAACCGGUGAAUUAGUUUAGAAAGUUAAUAAAAGUUCUUCUAUCAAAUUUUAUAAGUAUUAGAUGUCCAAAAAUUGUGAAGUUAAAAGUUAUAAGUCGUUUAGGGUGCUCUCUAAACUAGGUAUCAUAUUCUAUGUGUGUUAGUCACUUUUAUAAUUGGAAUGGAUGGUGAUUGCUACCUCGACUGUUUAGCUAAGUUGUAAGAGCAUGAUUGUCGUAAGUAACAAUAUAUCGAUAACUAGUGUUCGUAAUGUCUCGUCAUUAAAUAGGUUAUUUCUCUUUUGCGUAGCAUCGUAAUAUCUAGUGUUAUUGUUCUUUAUAUGCAUUCAUAUGCGUAAUGCAUUUCAUUCAGGACGUUAAAUAAUCGCGUGAUACGGAAGACGAACCAAGUCGACCUCAAGCGCGGGCUACUCCACAUGGUGAAGCUGAAGGACGAACGCAAGGAUGGAUGACCUAACAAGUGCCAAGACAAAGAGUGGUC
rnacentral:lncRNA from 1 species